rnacentral:rRNA from 1 species
CAGUCGCCACGGGAAUACGCAGGUGGCAAGCGUUGUCCGGAAUUAUUGGGCGUAAUGCGCGCGCAGGUGGUUUAAUAAGUCUGAUGUGAAAGCCCACGGCUCAACCGUGGAGGGUCAUUGGAAACUGUUAAACUUGAGUGCAGGAGAGAAAAGUGGAAUUCCUAGUGUAGCGGUGAAAUGCGUAGAGAUUAGGAGGAACACCAGUGGCGAAGGCGGCUUUUUGGCCUGUAACUGACACUGAGGCGCGAGAGCGUGGGGAGCAAACAGGAUUAGAUACCCCCGUAGUCCCUGUCUCUUAUAC